rnacentral:sRNA from 1 species
GUAUAUACGCGAACUCUAUACGGUAAACACGUCGAAGACGGAUGCACGCGUGUCGUGUUCUACGAUUUUCUUCUUGGUCAAAAUAACAGAAAAUGUGUGUGUGUGCUUACGCGAAAUACGGAAACGGAAUACGUGUAAAAUCUAUUGAUAUCAAAGUGAAAUAAAGUUGAAGAAAAAAUUAAAUAAAAUUAUUUUAAACGAAGAGUUGAGAAAAUACCACAACGAAAAUACUUGCUUACACACAUACUACUCCACAGGCAAGCGGUUAACGACAAAAAUGUGUUGUAGUUCGGUUUAUGUUUGAUAGAAGUGGUGUAAAAAGAAGAAGCAGCAGAAGAGCAGGCAAACAAAUAAUAAUAAAGAAAAAAAAAAUAACAAAACAACGUGCUGCCGAAAAAACACGAGAAGCCUAAGUCAAGCCAAUAAAAGUUUUUAAACGAAAGGUUUUUAGCUCGCCUCCAAUAUAAAGAAAUUGGAAGAAAAAUUGUUUGCUAUUAUCAAUGAUUUUGCAUGCUAAAUUUGGGCCAAAGUGUAAAGGAAAGUGAGUGAAAUUUUCUAUCAACCCAGAAGCCCUGAGAGCAAGAAUAUAAUAAAAAGUUAUGGUGUUGAAUAAUUGAAAGAAUGAUGCUUCUAAUUUCCACAAGCAUCUAGAAAGAGAAUAUUUUCGUACAAACAAUUGGUCAUAGUGUUGUUGGUUGACAUCAAAGUGUUUUUUUUUUGGGUUUUGUGCCAUUUUACCGUUAGACAAGCAAAACAAUAACAAAGUGCCAACGUUGUGUGUGCGAAAGUGUAAGAAGUUGAAACACAGUGGCUAAUAGUGUAAAGUGGAACUACUUGCGGCAGAAUAAGAGCAAAGAAACUUCAACCAAUUAAAGAUCUUCUGCUACUCUUCAAAAGAAAAAAGCACACUCAAUUGGACAACGAAAGCGAAACCAGUAAAUAAAAACACAGAUACAUAUCUAAUACAAAAAUUAUCGAAAAAAACAAACCAUCAAAACCAUCAAAACAAAACCCAAAACUUAAUCAUCUUCCAUAUCGCACCGAACAUAUCAGUGCACCGAAAACCAAUUAAAAUAUUUUAUCUUGCAAAUAUGAUCAGUAAUCAAAUAUGAGAUAUAUAUUUCACAUUGAACAACUAAUUAUUUAAAAAUUUAUUCAACCUGUCAAAAAGAAAACAAAAGCACUGACUCUUAUCAAUACACAACAAAAUCACAUAUCAAAUUCAUUAGAGAAGACGAUAGGAGAGGAAUUCCAAAAAUUAUUUAUCUCUUGGGGAUUUUGUAUUUUUCGGUUAAUUAAUGCAUGCCGAUGAAGAGCAAAAGCAAUAACAACUAACGCCAGCGAAACAGAAAAAAACAAAUUUUACAUAAAGAAAACAGCAACACCAACUAUAAUACAAGAAGAACAAAAAUUAUGCAAAUAAAAGCACAUUUAAAUUACCAUUUCAACUGCCAAUUAAUUCAUUAGAGUCCAUCAGCCUAUUAAACAAAAGGGAAUAAGCAGAGCAGUUAGCUGAAGUUGGCGACAAAUGCCCAAACUGGCCAAAAUUUUCUUAGAUAGACAAAUGAUGAUGAGGAUGUAUGCCUGAUACAUAUCUAGCAAGCGUUUGAUAUGUCCCUCUCUCUCUCUUUCUAACAGUCUUGAAUACAACAUAUCCCUCGAUUACAAAAUACAGCAACAAUUGCUUUUAUUAGACAAAUUUUUGGAACAAAAAAUACCCCACAACUUGCUCUGCCCAGUAGCUGUCCAUUGAGUUGAAGAAGGGCAUUCAAUUUUUCCACACAAAUACAGUGUUGUUUGCCUGAAAUUUAGUUCACUUACGACUGGACUCCCCCCCGUUGGCCGGCGAGUUCGCCGCAACUCUGUUAGGAUCCGUCUAUACGUCCAUCGUUCCUUUCUACAAAUUUUUAAGCCAUUUACAAAUUUGUACUUAAAUGUAAAUGAGUUUUUGUGCGGCGCACGGAUAAUGAUGAUGAUGAAUAAAUACAUUCUAUGCUAAAUGUUCGGGCGGCGCCUAUUCCAAGUUAUCUCAACGAGCAACCAGAGAGUGCCAAUAGAAGUAGUGACAGCAGCAGCAGCAGCAACAAUAACCAAACGUCCUUAAAAGCAAAACAAAAAACAAAACCUACAAUUGUACGGUCACAACAAAGUUUUAAACGUUUGCGCUGAGUGCCGGAAUUAAUGUAAAUUGUUAAGUUUAAAUCUAAUCUCUUUUUCGGGGUGAAAAUUGUGCCUGAAAUUCUCUUCGCUGCCGCGACAACGACAACGCGUUAGUGUAAAGCAAAAUUUGUAAAUUUGUUUUUCGUUCUUGCAUAAAUAGGGCAAAACAAGUGUGAGCAAAUAAAAAAAAAAUAAAUAAA